CCAGGAUGGUAUCUAGAGGCAUUCAGGAUGGUCCAGCAUUUGAUAUACCACUGUAGGCUUUCCUACAAUACAGCCUGUUAGUAAGACUAGGCUGUUCUUAACCCCUGGUAAUAGAAUUGUUUACCUUUAUACCAAGAAGGUUGGGAUAGCACUAAAAUCCACAUGUGGUGUGUGCCCAGGCCAGCUUCAAGGAGUUUGUGCUGUGAGACCUAAGGUUCUUUAUGAGAUUGUCUGAAGCAAGAAGACAUGUCAGCCAGGCGUGGUGGUGUAUAUGUCUGUGAUAGGAUCAAGUGCACUUUCCUUAUUGAGGAGCAGAAAAUCAUUGUGAAAGCGUUAAGAGCAGAAGCACAGAGUCAGAAAGCUAAAUUUAAAAAAUGAAGCUUUUUUGAGUAAUUUUUAAAAAUAAAAAAAAAAGAAAAAUGGAAAAGACUUGAAGAGGCAUUUCACAGAAGAGAAAAUACAUGGGGCUUAUAAAUCAAUAGAAACCUUGGAGAUACGAAUUACGAUCACAAUUAGCUUAUAAGUUACAUUCAUAAGAUUUAUAAAGUUAAGGAGUCUAACAGCACCAGGUGCUAAAGAAGAUCCGUGUGAGCUCAUUUCAUGAUGUGUAAAUAGGUGCCCCUGCUUUAGAAAACAACCAUACCUCACCAAGUUGAACAUUUGCACACUUUGGGCUCUAGCUUAGGACUCCACCUUCCAGCUGUGUAUCCAGUAAAUGCAUGCAUUUGUGUACCAGGAGGUAUGUACAGAAAUGUUUAUAGUAACAUCUUCAUGAUAGUUAUAACUGGAAAAGCUGAAAUGCCUUUCUGUCUACAGGACAGCGUUUAAGUAAAUUAGGUGUAUUAACAGUAUUCAGUAGUAAAAAAAAAAAAAAUAAGUGAACCACAGCUAUACCUGACAAGAAGAAUGAAUCUCUGAAAAUAUUAAGGAAAAAAAAAAAGCAAGUCCCAGGAUAUGAUUGACACUAUUUUUAUUGAGCUCAAAAGCAAGCAAAACCAAAGAGCAUCUUCUCAAUGCACGCAUAAAUGGUAAAACUAGAACUAAAAAAAAAAAAGAUAAGCCAAAAUUCAGCCUAGAAAUCACCUCUGAGAGGGAAACAGGGAGCAGAUGUCACGGACACAUGGGUAGACAUUGGUUAUUAGUAAUGUUCAGGUUUUUGGGUUGUAUGUUAGGUUUAUGGUUGUUUAUUAUGUUAUGCUUCACAACUAGCUUUAUAUUACAGAGUUCUGUAUGUAUUACAUAUGUUGUACUUAAGUAUUGUAAAAAUAAUAAAGGAAAAUGGAAUAAUAAGCCAAAA